rnacentral:rRNA from 1 species
AUACGGAGGGUGCAAGCGUUACUCGGAAUCACUGGGCGUAAAGCGCGCGCAGGCGGUCUUUUAAGUUGGAUGUGAAAGCCUACGGCUCAACCGUAGAACUGCAUCCAAAACUAUUAGACUAGAGUGUGGGAGAGGAAGAUGGAAUUAGUUGUGUAGUGGUAAAAUCCGUAGAGAUAACUAGGAAUACCAAAAGCGAAGGCAAUCUUCUGGAACACUACUGACGCUGAGGCGCGAAAGCGUGGGGAGCAAACAGGAUUAGAAACCCUUGUAGUCC